AUUGCAGUGUUCAUCCUGAUCGUCUUGACAGCUAACCAAAAAAAUGGCUCACUUCUGCUGCAUUUUUUCUACGCCAUCAAUCAACAUUACAACAACUGCCAUGUCAGAAAGAUGUCCGAAAAUAUGGAAGCAACUGCCUGUGUCGGUUAUUCAGUCGAUUCGACCAAGGCACUCUCCCGAAGUCUUCCAAAGCCGGAAACAACUCCACAAGUCCUUCAGUUUUGCCUCCCCUGAUUACUGCGCUCUACUAUGCAAAAUGUGUACACGGUUUGAAGAAUGAUGCUGUUCCUGUGAAAUAAUAUUUUCCGGUUUCCUCCGACUUCGGUACGAUCACUGACAUCAGUGGCUAUAGCCAAACGGACGAAAGAUGUGGGAAAGCGACAGGUUUCGGUUAAAACAAUCAAGUACAGGAAGACCACGAUGAAUUGAAUCAUCGUCUGAAACAGCAACUCGUGAACUCGUCAUUAAGAAGAAAGCUCCGGAAUUAUAUGGACGAUCUGGAACUGAUUGGCGUAGCUUGACCACCAGCUAAGAACGGCAAAGCUAGUCGCCAAAACAUCAAAGUAUGCGUACGGCUAGACUAAACGGUGUUACCGAUGGCUAUCACGCUGGAAACCAACUAUUCGGGCAUCUGUAGUAGCCGUUGAGCGUAAUGCAGGAUAUAGUGAUCGGUGCAAUUCUUUAAGUAGAUACUGAGGAGAUUUAGCCAAUGCUUCAACUUCAGAACCAUACUGGUCAACACCCAACACAAAGUGCCAGUGCCAGUUUUCAUGCCGUCACUCAUUUUUAACAGCACAUCGGUUUCAGCAUCUCAUGCAGUUUGGACACCAUUCAGAAAGCUCUGCUUGGAAUAGCUCCUUUUGAUAAUUAUGUAGUGGCGUGUUGAUCAACAGUUCGUGAGCUAAUGCUAAUGUUGGAACCUUUCCUUAGCCAUGUGGUGAGAUGCGCGGCUACAAAACGAGAUCACUGAGUUCAAUUUUUGUCCCGUCAUAGGAAAUUUACAUUUCUGACUAAGUUGCAAGGCAAAAGGAAAUCGAAGAUGGGAAAUGUUUUGAAGAAAUUGUUCUUGUACGACUUCAUUCGAUAACAUUCCGAGCAGCAUACUAAAUUUGUUCUACGCAGGCCAAUUUGAACGACACCUUUUCAUAGUUUGUCAGCAAGGAUUUGAGCUUGGAUGUUUCCAACGACAGUUCAUGCUUACGACACAUCUGUUGCUUGCGCUCGCAGUUUAUGGUAAUAUCGAAGCAGCAACCAAAAAAUGUCCUCAGCAAUAACUAAGUUUGGAUGCUUUCAACUUGGAAAUUGCAAGACCUAUUUCGUUCGUCAUAUCGGUGUCGGUAUCACUGGACCAAGGCUGCAUAUUUGACACAUUCUUUGAUACAUUACAGUAGUAAUAUGUACUAGGUAUUUGGUUAAAGUGUUGCUACUUAACAGCUGAUUAGGGAUGCAAUUCCUUGUCGGUGUCGGAUCGUAAUUAGUUUCUCCGGAGGCAAUUUUUAACGGUUACACAUGCUUAUUAAAUUCAUUAAUAUGUAUUCGGAUAUUGUAGUUCAUUGCGUUACCCAAGUUAAUUGCAUUCACGCCUUAAAACGAAGUCGAUCGUUUGCAUUGUUAUGAGACAUAUCUUCUUCUUCUUCAUCGGCAUCCCAUCCCCCACUGGCACUUUGACGCCUCGCAGCUCGCAGUGUUCAUUAAGCACUUUCAACUGUUAUUAACUGCGCGGUUUCUAAGCCAAGGUACCAUUUCUGCAUUCGUACAUCAUGACUCAUGACGCUAACACAAUGAUACUUUUAUGCCCAGGAAAGUCGAGACAAUUUCCAACCCGAAAAUUUCCUAGAUCGGACCGGGAAACGAACCCAGCCACCCUCAGCAUGGUUUUGCUUUGUAGCCGCGCAUCUUACCGUACGGCUAAUGACAUAAAUCCUGUAGCAAUAGAAUCUGA